rnacentral:tRNA from 2 species
GGACCCGUAGCUCAGUCGGUCAGAGCAGGUGACUCAUAAUCUCCGGGUCGUGGGUUCAAGUCCCGCCGGGUCCACCA